rnacentral:rRNA from 1 species
CCAAUAGCGUAUACUAAAGUUGUUGCAGUUAAAAAGCUCGUAGUUGAAUUUCGGGAUCAAUUUAUUGGUCGUGCCUCCGGUAUGCACUGGUAUUAUUGAUUUCUACCUUCUGACGAACUAUGAUGUCAUUAAUUUGGUGUCAUGGGGAAUCAGGACUGUUACUUUGAAAAAAUUAGAGUGUUUAAAGCAGGCACACGCUUGAAUACAUUAGCAUGGAAUAAUGAAAUAGGACGUUUGACCCUAUUUUGUUGGUUUCUAGGAUCGACGUAAUGAUUAAUAGGGAUAGUUGGGGGCAUUAGUAUUCAAUUGUCAGAGGUGAAAUUCUUGGAUUUAUUGAAGACUAACUACUGCGAAAGCAUUUGCCAAGGAUGUUUUCAUUAAUCAAGAACGAAAGUUAGGGGAUCGAAGACGAUCAGAUACCGUCGUAGUCUUAACCAUAAACUAUGCCGACUAGGGAUCGGAUGAUGUUAAUUUUUUAAUGACUCAUUCGGCGCCUUACG